GCCCGGGUGGCUCAGUCGGUUGAGCAGCCGACUUCAGCUCAGGUCAUGAUCGCACGGCUCGUGAGUUCGAGCCCCACGUCGGGCU
rfam:Felis catus isolate Cinnamon breed Abyssinian chromosome A3, whole genome shotgun sequence.